rnacentral:rRNA from 1 species
GUGGGGAAUAUUGGACAAUGGGCGAAAGCCUGAUCCAGCCAUGCCGCGUGUGUGAAGAAGGUCUUCGGAUUGUAAAGCACUUUAAGUUGGGAGGAAGGGCAUUAACCUAAUACGUUAGUGUUUUGACGUUACCGACAGAAUAAGCACCGGCUAACUUCGUGCCAGCAGCCGCGGUAAUACGAAGGGUGCAAGCGUUAAUCGGAAUUACUGGGCGUAAAGCGCGCGUAGGUGGUUCGUUAAGUUGGAUGUGAAAGCCCCGGGCUCAACCUGGGAACUGCAUCCAAAACUGGCGAGCUAGAGUACGGUAGAGGGUGGUGGAAUUUCCUGUGUAGCGGUGAAAUGCGUAGAUAUAGGAAGGAACACCAGUGGCGAAGGCGACUACCUGGACUGAUACUGACACUGAGGUGCGAAAGCGUGGGGAGCAAACAGGAUUAGAUACCCCAGUAGUCC